CUUGUUAUCAGGCCCUUGGGAUAGUCUAUAGGUUCCCUCUCAAACUGGCACCCACACAGAGGGCUCCAGGACAGAAGUGGCAAAUGAGCAUCCUCUCCUCUGCUGACCUCUGCCAAAAGCUGGAGUUAUCCUUCAUGUGCCUUGCUGGAUUAGCCUAGAUUCAUUUCCCUAGAUGACUGUUUUCCAACUGGAAGACCUGAGAUUAUUGCUGUUAUCAACAUUUGCUGUGGAUGGCUGCUACUGAAGAAACUCAAAACUGGUCAAACUGAUGAGUAUAAAUGACUGUUAAAUGCUCAGCCCUAAAUGAGACAUCUCUUGUCUCAGGGAGCAUUGGAGAGAGAGUGAAGUGCUGUUGAACAGUGUCCUAAAGGCGCGACAGGGUCCUGAUCUCUUCAACUCUCAACACCUGUGAUUAUAAGCCGCAGACUCACACAAGGCUGGUCCCAUUAAUAUUCUGUUUUUUAAGACUGGGUCUCACUAUAUAGUCCUGGUCAGCCUGAAAUUUGCUAUGUAGACCAGGCUGGCCCCGAUCUUAGAAGAUCUGGUGGUCUCUAUCUUCUAAGUCCUGGACUUAAAGGAUUGUAUCAUCACACCCAGGGGUGUGCACUAAGCAGUCCUCAAACUUGCAGAGCUCCACCUGCUGUACCUGUACUUCUUGAGUGCUGGGAUUCAGAUGGCGCAGUCCUUCUCAGGUAAGGAACACGUUUCUGUCACAGGACUUCGCACAGCUUGGCCUGGUGGUUGACUUUGGGCAAGUCACGGAGUCUUCUGUAGCUAUGUAUGUGUGAAGGAGAUGAGUCUCCUUGACAUUCGCUGUAAAGCCGGUAUUCUAGGUGUGAGCUUUGAAAGGAAAUGAUAUCGCCUUGGUUCCCACCCCUGGCGGGAUGGACCUGUGUGCAAAACCACAAAGUCCUCUGGGGAAAGCAGCUUUUGGCAUCGGUUUUAUGAUGAAAUUGGGGAAGUGGACUAAUUUAAUUCUUCACAAAAUGUAGGGAAAAUGUAAUCCUUAGAGUAAUUUAGGGAAAUUCCGAUGUAAAACAUCAUGUGAAAAAAUAAAACCGGAAUGAUUGUGC
rnacentral:lncRNA from 1 species